ACUCCUACGGGAGGCAGCAGUGGGGAAUAUUGCACAAUGGGCGCAAGCCUGAUGCAGCAACGCCGCGUGAGCGAUGAAGGCCUUCGGUCGUAAAGCUCUGUCCUCAAGGAAGAAUAAAUGACGGUACUUGAGGAGGAAGCCCCGGCUAACUACGUGCCAGCAGCCGCGGUAAUACGUAGGGGGCAAGCGUUAUCCGGAAUCACUGGGGCGUAAAGGGGUGCGUAGGCGGUUUUUCAAGUCAGAAGUGAAAGGCUAUGGCUCAACCAUAGUAAGCUUUUGAAACUGUUAAACUUGAGUGCAGGAGAGGAAAGUGGAAUUCCUAGUGUAGAGGUGAAAUUCGUAGAUAUUAGGAGGAAACACCAGUGGCGAAGGCGACUUUCUGGACUGUAACUGACGCUGAGGCACGAAAGCGUGGGGAGCGAACAGGAUUAGAUACCCUGGUAGCACAGAG
rnacentral:rRNA from 1 species